CCAAUAGCGUAUAUUAAAGUUGUUGCAGUUAAAAAGCUCGUAGUUGAAUUUCGGGAUUAGUAAGUUGGUCGUGCCUCUGGUAUGUACUGGCUUUACUGGUUCCUCCUUCUUGAAGAACUGUAAUGUCAUUAAUUUGGUGUUGCAGGGAAACAGGACUGUUACUUUGAAAAAAUUAGAGUGUUUAAAGCAGGCUAACGCUUGAAUACAUUAGCAUGGAAUAAUGAAAUAGGACGUUUGAUCCUAUUUUGUUGGUUUCUAGGAUUGACGUAAUGAUUAAUAGGGAUAGUUGGGGGCAUUAGUAUUCAAUUGUCAGAGGUGAAAUUCUUGGAUUUAUUGAAGACUAACUACUGCGAAAGCAUUUGCCAAGGAUGUUUUCAUUAAUCAAGAACGAAAGUUAGGGGAUCGAAGACGAUCAGAUACCGUCGUAGUCUUAACCAUAAACUAUGCCGACUAGGGAUCGGAUGAUGUUAAUUUUUUAAUGACUCAUUCGGCGCCUUAC
rnacentral:rRNA from 1 species